CUGUCACCCCCUCACUCUAGUGACAGAGUGAGGGAGGGUGUGACUAGUAACAGAGAGAGGGGUGACUAGGGACAGAGUGAGGGAGGUGGUGACUAGUGACUAGUGACAGUCACCACCUCCCUCACUCUGUCACUAGUCACCACCUCCCUCACUCUGUCACCAGUCAUCCCCUCACUCUGCCACUAGUCACCCCUUCCCUCACUGUCACCUGUCACCCCCUCACUCUAGUGACAAAGUGAGGGAGGGUGUGACUAG